rnacentral:tRNA from 1 species
UAAGGAGUAGCAUAGGGGAAGUGCAGAGGGUUUUGAUCUCUCAGGCAUAGGUUCAAUUCCUAUCUCUUUA